rnacentral:rRNA from 1 species
UACGUAGGGUGCAAGCGUUAAUCGGAAUUACUGGGCGUAAAGCGUGCGCAGGCGGUUAUGCAAGACAGAUGUGAAAUCCCCGGGCUCAACCUGGGAACUGCAUUUGUGACUGCAUGGCUAGAGUGCGGCAGAGGGGGAUGGAAUUCCGCGUGUAGCAGUGAAAUGCGUAGAUAUGCGGAGGAACACCGAUGGCGAAGGCGAUCCCCUGGGCCUGCACUGACGCUCAUGCACGAAAGCGUGGGGAGCAAACAGG